GACAGAGGGUGCAAACGCUGUUCGGAAUUACUGGGCGUAAAGCGCGUGUAGGCGGCCCUGCAAGUCGGAUGUGAAAUCCCACGGCUCAACCGUGGAAGUGCAUUCGAAACUGCAGGGCUAGAGUCCUGGAGAGGAAGGUGGAAUGCUUGGUGUAGAGGUGAAAUUCGUAGAUAUCAAGCGGAACACCGGUGGCGAAGGCGGCCUUCUGGACAGUGACUGACGCUGAGACGCGAAAGCGUGGGGAGCAAACAGG
rnacentral:rRNA from 1 species